rnacentral:rRNA from 1 species
GCCAGCAGUCAUAUCACAACUGGCACACUGGCAGCCCACUGAAGCUCAGCAGGUGUGAGCCUGGUCAGUACCUGGAUGGGAGACCUCCUGGGAAAAAACUAAGGUUGCUGCUGGAA